rnacentral:tRNA from 1 species
AGGGGCUUAGGAUAAUUGUUAGACCAAAAGCCUUCAAAGCUUUAAGUAGAAGUUGGAAUCUUCUAGCCCCU